GACAGAGGAUGCAAGCGUUAUCCGGAAUGAUUGGGCGUAAAGCGUCUGUAGGUGGCUUUCAAGUCCGCCGUCAAAUCCCAGGGCUCAACCCUGGACAGGCGGUGGAAACUACCAAGCUGGAGUACGGUAGGGGCAGAGGGAAUUCCGGUGGAGCGGUGAAAUGCAUUGAGAUCGGAAAGAACACCACGGCGAAAGCACUCUGCUGGGCCGACGACU
rnacentral:rRNA from 1 species